GGGUGAUUAGCUCAGCUGGGAGAGCACCUCUCUUACAAGGAGGGGGUCGGCGGUUCGAUCCCGUCAUCACCCACCA
rnacentral:tRNA from 7 species